CUAGCUAACUGAAAUCAUGAGUGUGUCACUUGUGAUAAGUAAAGGAAGAUAAUGACAUUACUUUACUGAUAGUUUCGUCCCAGACUGGUGCCAGAAGACUCGGUAAGGCCAGAGAAGCGAACGUUUAUCUUCUUAACCAGGCUUAAAGGGUUUGUAGGCGGCUUUAAUUUACUAUUCUAAAAUUAUUUUUUAAAAAAAAAAUAAAACAAGUAGUAUUACUUAAAGCUAGAAUCUUAUCGAAGAUAUAAAUAAUACUUAGAGUAGGGGCGAUAUCCUAAGAUACUAAGGAGAGUACCAAAGGCGAAAGCAUUUAUCUAGAAAAGAUUGACGCUGAGAAACGAAAGAGAGGAUAGGAAAUAGCAUUUGAUACGCUAGCACCCCUCUCUGUAAACGAUGAAUGGUAGUCACUAAAUAGCAUAAUUCUUUAAACUUUAAUAAAUUUUGNUUUUACAAAAUAUUAGAGCCCUGCUGAAUUGGUAGAAAACUUUUCCAGCCUAAAAAAAAAAUUUUUUUUUUUUGUUCCCUUGCCUUGCCUUGCUAAGGCAAGGCAAGGGGGUAACAAAAAAGUUUAGUAUUUUUAUAAUAAAAACUACCAAAUUUUAAAUUAUUUUUAUAAUUUAAAAUUUUUUUUGUUAUAUUUAGUGGCGAGGUUAACACGAUUACCAUUCCGCCUUGUGAGUACAACUGCAAAGUUGAAAACAAAAAAAUUAGUCGG
rnacentral:rRNA from 1 species